GGAAGGAUCAUUAUUGAAAUAAACCUGAUGGGUUGUUGCUGGUUCUCUAGGGAGCAUGUGCACGCCUUGUCAUCUUUAUAUCUCCACCUGUGCACCUUUUGUAGGCCUUCCAGGUCUAUGUUUGCCUCAUUUAACCCCAUGUUAAUAGAAUGUUGUUGUGCCUAUAUAAUAUACAACUUUCAGCAACGGAUCUCUUGGCUCUCGCAUCGAUGAAGAACGCAGCGAAAUGCGAUAAGUAAUGUGAAUUGCAGAAUUCAGUGAAUCAUCGAAUCUUUGAACGCACCUUGCGCUCCUUGGUAUUCCGAGGAGCAUGCCUGUUUGAGUGUCAUUAAAUACAUAUAUCAACCUUCUCAUUGUGGAAUGGUUUGGAUGUGGGGGUUUUCUUGCUGGAACCUUUCAAAGAGUCCAGCUCCCCUUAAAUGCAUUAGCAGAACAAACCUGUUCAUUGGCGUGAUAACUAUCUAUGCUAAUUGAAUAUGAAGGGCAGUUCAGCUUUCUAGCAGUCCUUUGGACAACUCAUCAUUAAUGUGGCCUCAAAUCAGGUAGGACUACCCGCUGAACUUAAGCAUAUCAAUAAGCGGAGGAAAAGAAACUAACAAGGAUUCCCCUAGUAACUGCGAGUGAAGCGGGAAAAGCUCAAAUUUAAAAUCUGGCAGUCUUUUGGCUGUCCGAGUUGUAAUCUAGAGAAGUGUUAUCCGCGCUGGACCGUGUACAAGUCUCCUGGAAUGGAGCAUCAUAGAGGGUGAGAAUCCCGUCUUUGACAUGGACUGCCAGGGCUUUUGUGAUGCGCUCUCAAAGAGUCGAGUUGUUUGGGAAUGCAGCUCAAAAUGGGUGGUAAAUUCCAUCUAAAGCUAAAUAUUGGCGAGAGACCGAUAGCGAACAAGUACCGUGAGGGAAGAGAUGAAAA
rnacentral:sRNA from 1 species